rnacentral:lncRNA from 1 species
AUUCUCAUUUCACAAUGUUAAAACCAGAAAUAACAAUUUAUAAUGAUUUAGUAACAGUUUGCUUACAAACUUCAAAGUGGAAGGACGUGUUGCUCUCAAAUGUUGUAAGGUCACCUUAACCGGUUUAAGAUUUCUCCUUCAACAACUUCUCAAAAAUGGGGGCAAUAACAUACCACGUCCACUUCAGGAUCAUAGGUAGUGCAAUAGCUCUCCUACUGCACGCUGGUAACAGUAUCGCAAUGUUCCUGGCGCUCAGAGGCGACAUACUGAAAGAUCCCGAUAUAGCCAACCUGCAUGCCACGCAAUACAGAUAUAUCACUAUAUGGAAUGUGGUAAGAAAAUUAAAAUAUAUACACAGAGUGUUCCAUAAUUAAUGGGUAA